rnacentral:rRNA from 1 species
UGCCAGACUCCUACGGGAGGCAGCAGUGAGGAAUAUUGGUCAAUGGCCGGGAGGCUGAACCAGCCAAGUCGCGUGAGGGAAGACGGCCCUACGGGUUGUAAACCUCUUUUGUCAGGGAGCAAGGUGCAGGUCGGGACCUGCUGUGAGAGUACCUGAAGAAAAAGCAUCGGCUAACUCCGUGCCAGCAGCCGCGGUAAUACGGAGGAUGCGAGCGUUAUCCGGAUUUAUUGGGUUUAAAGGGUGCGUAGGCGGGACGGUAAGUCAGCGGUAAAAAUGCGGAGCUCAACUCCGUCGAGCCGUUGAAACUGCCGUUCUUGAGUGAGCGAGAAGUAUGCGGAAUGCGUGGUGUAGCGGUGAAAUGCAUAGAUAUCACGCAGAACUCCGAUUGCGAAGGCAGCAUACCGGCGCUCAACUGACGCUGAGGCACGAAAGCGUGGGUAUCGAACAGGAUUAGAUACCCCGGUA